CGGUAUUUCAUCUUCUCCUUCUUCCUGGCCCUUUGUGGCGCCAACGCACGGAGGCGAUAAUCAACGUAGCAAAAGGCGGCGACGUGGAGGUUCGGAGCGAAAGCCAGCUCGGAAGAGGUUAGUGUGAAUCUCACCAUCUACUUUUAGGUUUUUUUCCGAAUCUUUGUUUGGAUUUUUUGAAUCUGCAAAUUGAUUUUGUGGAAAAGAAAGUACUUUCUAAAUCUGUUAAUUUCUUAUUUCGCACAGUACGUACAAAACUUGUUGAUUACUUUUUUUUCCGUGAAUCUGUGAAUUGCGUCUUUUGCACAGAGCAUACAUAACUUGUGAUUUCAUGUAGGAAAAUAUAAGAACUUUCUGAAUCUGUGAAAAUAAGAUUCAUAAUAACUCUAUUGAAAGAACAUUCUAUUCAUUGGGGCAUUUUUAAUAUUCAACAAUUGAGAACUUAGAUGCAACUCAUUAGGUUCAUAAACUCAUAUACAAUUCAUCAUAAACUCAGGAACAACUCAUCCAUCCUCAUAAGCUUUAAGGCAUUCUCCUGUGUUCCAAUCUGUCAACCCUAUCUCGUAAUGCAUCUACUUCAUUGCGAGGUUGUGGAAGUCCAUGAAAAUAUUAUUCUCAAAAUUUACCGACUGCACAUAAUUUGGACUUCGUAAUGGAGCACUUUGUGUUGGUGCCAAUGAUGCUUAAAGCUCCAAAUUCUCAACACGCAGAUCAUGAAUUUGGUUCCUCAUACUCUCCAUCAUAUUCGCCAUAUUUAACUUCUCGUUUACAAUAGCAACUUUCACGUGAAACCAUUCAAAGUAACCACAACCGGUGCCAUCCUAUAGCAUGUAUGGAUUUCACGAGUGUUAGUUACUACAAGAAGGAGGCCCUAAAAUGGUAGGUAUGAACAAUGUGUUCACCUUUAAAUCGUAGUUUGCACAACCAAAAAUCUUUCAAUUCGGGUUUUGCGCUGAGUGUGAGAUACGACGGGAAGACUAUACCCCACAAUUUCACAAAACAUGAGCAUCCUCGUAACCAAACUCAUCACAUGAUUUCAUUGAUUGUUUCAUUAUGGAAAUGAUGUUCUCAACUGUUGCAUAAACGUUUAAGUAAAAUCAAAUCCAAAUACAGAGAAUCUAAUCGAUGUCAUCAAACUAAUGAAUCCAUAUAAACAAGCUACUCGAUUUGGGCAAGCAAACUACUCCAUCUAAACAAGCUAAUGGAUUUUAACAAACAAACUAAUCAAUACAACAAGCUAAUGAAUUUUAUCAAAAAACUGUAAUCAUCAAACAAGACAAUAAAAAACAAGACAGUUAAGCUUUCCCAUAGAGGAAACCUCUAUCCACAAUACCUUCAUGAUUCCAACGUCUUGGAUCAAACAUCCCCUUCUGAUUUUGGAGUUUAAGGUGAGUUAGCAGUUUCAGAAGAUCAAUUGAUUGUUUGCGGGAAAAAAAGAAAAUGGCAUUGGGGGAGGACAGGUGCGUGGAUAAGAAAAGGAGGAGAAUAGAAAUGGUGGUAUUUCAAUAUUUUCAGUUCAUGGAAAGUUAUAGGUCAAAUCCGGUAUGUUAAAUUGGGUUUAUCAUAUGGAAAAAUGGCCUUUUCUACAGUUAAUUGGACUCUCACAGUUAUUUGGACUCCGAUGAAAAAUAAUUUCCCCCCAUAAAUAAACUCAAUUAAUAGGAAACCGCAGUCAUAUACUUCAAUUGAAUUAAUCAAUUCCUUAAAAAAAUGGAUGGCACUUAACUGAUAAUCCAAAUAUUUGCAAACACAAAACAAAAGUGACUGGAAGGUGCAAUAGUAAUUUUAACGUGUCCAUAUAUUAAUUUGGCAGUCCAAAAUACCAAAAACGAAAACUAUAAAAGUUCAAUAUCCGGGAAGUUAUAGAAAAUAAUACAUGUGACAAAAAAGAAGUUUGAUAAAAGUAGGAGGAGAAUAGAAAUGGUGGUAUUUCAAUAUUUUCAGUUCAUGGAAAGUUAUAGGUCAAAUCCGGUAUGUUAAAUUGGGUUUAUCAUAUGGAAAAAUGGCCUUUUCUACAGUUAAUUGGACUCUCACAGUUAUUUGGACUCCGAUGAAAAAUAAUUUCCCCCCAUAAAUAAACUCAAUUAAUAGGAAACCGCAGUCAUAUACUUCAAUUGAAUUAAUCAAUUCCUUAAAAAAAUGGAUGGCACUUAACUGAUAAUCCAAAUAUUUGCAAACACAAAACAAAAGUGACUGGAAGGUGCAAUAGUAAUUUUAACGUGUCCAUAUAUUAAUUUGGCAGUCCAAAAUACCAAAAACGAAAAAUACAAAAGUUCAGUUCACGGAAAGUUAUAGUAAAUAAUACAUGUGACCAAAAGAGAAAUUUGAUAAAAGUUUUUUUUUAAAACGGAAAUUAAAAAACGGUAGAGAUUAAAAUCCACCAAUGGGCGGCCCAGAUUAAAUUCUCUAAAUGAGAGUAUCGGUAUUCCGAGAAUACUGAAGAGUUUUUCUUGAAAUAAUAAGUUUGAGUUUGUGUGUUUUGAGAUAAAGGCUAGUAAUCUAUACUCAUUUGAUUCGUUUAAGUGCGUGUUGAUUCAUACUUGGAGGAUCAUUGGUUCGUUUGAGUGUGUGUCGAUUUGUACUUGGAGGUCUAUUAGUCAUAUAAGCGAGAUAGUCACUCUCUAUCAUGGCCGACAUCUAUCUUGCUUCUUUCUAUUAUCGAAGAUUUCGAGUUCAAUUGUUUCGUGCCAAUAUUGUUCUUGGGUUUCAUCGUAAUUGUUGGUAUGGUUAACAACUUAACAUAACCUCUGUCACGUGAUUAUGUACUGCAUUUCCUCGACCUCCAUCCAGGUGCUUUGGAAUGGUUCUUGCUCAGAAAACUUCAAACCUAUUGAUGACGUUUGAUUUAUCAUGUUCAUCGCUCUCAUUUAAGCAACAUUGCAUGCAUUAUUGUAUAACUUUGGGUAUAACUUUAAGGUGUUUCUUGCAUUUUAAACUUCUAUCUCGAUUUAAUGUCUCAACCCCGCUUGGGGUCCAUUUGAUGUCGGUUUUGAGUGUUUUCUAUAAUUUUUAGGUACAAGACGACAUCAAGGCAUUAAGUUGAGUGAUUCAACGUCCUUGGAUGAGAUAGGAUGAAUCGGAGGAUAAAAAAAUACAAAGUGUUAAAAAUGUGCAAAAGUGCGCUAUUAGUCUUCUAAGGUGCAAAAGUGCGCUAUUACUCAACCUACGGCUCACAUUAGAACAACAGGAGACAAUCCCCAGACCACUAAACAUGUAAUUGUAGCCAUAAGAUCUACAAUUGUGUGGUGCUCAUUAACACAUCCUUAGGCGCGCUUUAGCACAUCCGUCAAUGAUUUCGUUUUGUCUCCUUUUUAGACCAACCCUCCUUCAAUCAGAACGAGACAACCUGUAAACGAAAUUGAGAGUAUUUUUCAGAGACUUUCAAGCAACAAGAAAAUGAUGACUUCAAUGAGCUCAGAUCGUUCAUAGCAUAAUCAAGAUUGGAAGAUCUCAGUUUUAGAGUUCUUCACCGAAAUUAGGUUUUCAGAAUUCUUUUUGUAAACCUAGUUUCAAUCGUUUUCUUAUAUGAAUGAAGCGACAUGAAGAUCAACCAUUGGGACAAAAUCCUGAAGGUUUCAAAAGGAUGAGCAAAUCCAAGAAAAAAAUGAUGGUUUUCAUACCUAGACCGACCACUCACGUAAAUGAGAGGGAAAUCCUAAGUUUCAAGUCAAAUAGAAGCCUCGAAGAAAGGAUCACUACAAAAAAUGGCACAUUUAACAGCAGCUAAAACACAGUUUCAUAGCGGAUUAAGCCGCCGUCAAAUUAUAUUAUAGUGGACGUAGUACCGCUGUUAAAUUCUGAGUCCUCUAGUCUAGCAAAGACGUGCUAAGAAAAAGACGAAAACACAAACAAGCAAUUAAGUCGAAAAUAUUGUCUAUUAUCCUGGGGGUUAUGAGGAUCAUCUAGUAGCCCGACUGCAGGUUAGUGGUCUAAAUUUCAGUUAGAAUAAAAUCCUUAUUGAGGAGUGGUUUAUGAAGUUUGGUUUUGUACGAGGCUCAAUUUGAAAAGGUGUCACACCCAAUUUCAGGUAAACUGUUGGUUUGCAAGUUAUUGUUGAAUCGGCUGAGUUUUGGUCUGAUAAAUUGACCAUCACGGGCGUGACCACUAGUAAGUCACAUGCAUGGUUGCCAUAUGGACCACGGUCUUGGUCAAAAGUCGAUCAUGGGUGUGACCAUCAGUAGGCCACAUGCGUGAUGAUCAGGCAGCCACGAGUGUGGUGAUAGAACAGCCACAUGCGUGGUGGGCUUAUUAUAUAAGUCAGAAUCGUGACCUCAAGCUAAAAAAACAUAGAAACAAAUAAUACCUUCUGGCGGCGAGUUCUUCUAUCGGGAGAAGACAGAACGGAUUAGUCCUGAAUAAGGGUUGACAUAUUAGAGAGGCUAGGGGAUUCAUGAGUAGGUAAUUAAUACUUCUUCUUUCUAUAUUAAUUCCAUAGAUUGAAACUCACCUAGGAAAACCUGAUAGUCCGGGUUUUUCGGAGAUUCAAUCUUGGCUUGAUCUCUUCAGGUCUACAAAAUAGGAGGUUGAACUUCAGGGAGGCUGCACUGCAUAUCAGUCUCUACUAGAAAAGCGUAUCUUGGGUGGGGGUCUAGGAUUAUUUCCUGCUUUAAAGCGUAGAACUGAAUGUAGGAUGUCAAGACCCCAAAUAUUGGAUUUCAUGAUUACCGAGCAGGGCAAUGGGGCCGUGGAGAGCUCGUGUUCUACUGUAUAGACAUUGGUGCGAUGAUUAUGGAGCAUGGAUUUUGGGGCCGUACAAUAGCUCAUGUUCUACUGUACAAGCAUUGAUGUUAUGAUUACAAAGUCGGGCUCUGGGACCGUAGAGUAGCUCGUGUUCUACUAUACUAGCGUUAAAUUUCGAGCAUAACCUCAUGAAGUUUGAACUGUGAUUCAUAGUUCAUGUGUGGGACAUGAUUCAGAUUUAGCUAGAUUAGCUCCUGAUGUGCGUUGGUCACCCACCCACGGGUUGCGUAAUCCCCCAGGAUGUUUCUACGCCUACAGUAUGACGUGUCGAGUAUCCCUACAGAUUCUGCUCACACGAUCUCUAAGGCUACGGGAUGGUUUUUGUGGUCUGAUCCAUUGUUAGGCUGUCAACUUUUAGCUAGGGGUGACUAAUGAUAGGAUGAUGCCUGCAGGACCACAGGGUCACAUUAUUAGUCGAGGUUUAGCUAGAUUUUCUUCACAAUUUUUCUUAGUAUAGUCUCAGUUCUACACGACUCUAGUUUUGCCAUCCAAUGCUUAUCACUAACCCCAUUAGAUUUUGUUUUCCUUGGUGUAUCUGUGUGUUCAGUCACAAGUACUAGAGCUGAUGGUGGAGAGAGAGCUGGUCGGAGUUUUGAUAUCACAUGAUAUAUGUUUAACAUAUUUUCAGGACUGGAGUUAUUCUGUUUCUUUUUUACUUGUUUAGUUGGUUAGUUUAUUUAUGUAUUUUAUUUCAAUUUUAAUGCUUGUUUACCGCAUUUAUUAGAAGUUGAGUAAUGAGUUUGGUUUAUGUUCAAACUCGAGUAGCACUCUUUGGUUGAACCAGUGGUUUGACCGGGACUCCUUGGGUGAGGUUUCACAAAAGGACUAGUGAAGGUUGAUUUAAUAGUUAACUUGACUAUUAAAUCUAACUUGGGGUUGAGCUUUUGUUGAGUGGUUUUCAGAUUUUGGGAAAAAACCUUUUGAAGGAGGGUAGAGUUGCGAUAUCCCUUUUUUGGUUACCCGUUUAACUCGUGUUCGAUUCGAAAGUUAUCAAGAAGGUCAUGUUGUUUCGUCAUGGUCAUGUUGUUUUCAAUAUAUAAAGCUUGUUAGGAUUUUUAGUCGACAUAAUAAUUAGAAGUCUUAAUUGGUUUUCUCUGUUAUGUUGAUGAACACAAUUUCGAAGAAGGGCGAUCCAAGUUUGAAGGUGCAAAUGAGCUCCGAUCAUGUCAUGAUUCUAGAUGGUCGACAAGGAAGAUGUCGGGAUCGUGUCCCCUAGAUUGAUAAGAGGUAAAUGUGGUUUCAGUUUUAGAGAGAUUUGGUUUUGGAAUUAAGUUUUGGGGUUUUCUCCAUGUGUUCAUCUUUUGUGAUCGUUGUUGGCAUGGAAAUCGAUGGUGCCUCCGGGAGUUGGGAACUAGCACGUCGUGGGGUCGUGGUCGAGAGAGGUGGAUCGUUUCCAAGAAACUUGGAGAUCGUCGGAGAAGAUUGCCUUUUCACGGGUCAGGAAAGUUCAGUGACCAAAUCUACAAAGUCCAUAAAGUUAAUUCACAUAUUUGUAGUUUAUGUAAAGUUCAGGGGCUGGAAUGUAAUUCCAAGAAAGUUUGAUGACUGGUCUGCAAUCAAUGUUAUGUCCAGGGACUGGUUCAUAAAUUUUUCCAGAUGGGCAGUAAAAGGUCGAUUCUGCCCCUACAAGUUUCAGCUUGUUGCAAAGGAGUCAUUGGAGCAUAACUCGAUCGUUUGAGCUCCAAACGACACAGGGUUAUAAGCUGUGGAUUUGUGGCAACGAUGGCAGUCACAUCAAUUCAAAAUCAGAGGUGUCAUAUCGUCUUAGAAGUCGGGGUUUAUGUUUUAUUACUAGAUAGUCCUGUGUAGAACUGUAAUUAAAUGUUGGGGAAUCCCAUCAAUGGAUUUCCCUUGUGAUGGUUGAUGGUGUGGAACGAGGGCUCCCGAGACUUUACGAUAGUGUGUGAUCUACUAUCCAAAAGCUUGUGAUUCACUAUUGAGAACAAGAUAAAAUAGGCCUAGCUAGACUAAAUCCCGAUGUUGUGUAUGCGUUGGUCGCUCACCCCCAUAUUGCGCAAUCUCUUAAGGAUGUGUCGAGUGUGCCUAAAAAUGCUGCUCACUCGAUUCAGGGUGGUUUCAUGAUCUGAUCCACUAUGAGACUAUCCACAUAGAUAAAAGUGGAUAAAGCAUAUUAUGCUAUAUCACACACAUAAAAACAAAACCUUUUAAUUGAAUAGAUUAAACAAUAUUUUAUAGAGAUUAAACCUAUCUAUUGCUUAAAAAACACCUAUCUAUUCCAUAUGUGCUGAACAAACGCAUCACAACUUGAACCGUAUGUUCGUUUCUCAUCGCUUUUUGGCCAUGGGACGGCCUUCUUCUUUCGCUGAUGAUGGUAGCCUUCUUCUUCAGCCAUCAAUGAGGACAUCCUUCUUCUUCACCCAUGGUCGAUGGCAGCGGGAUUGGUACACAAAACGAUCGUUUUAUAGGAUGCGGAACCCACCACAACUCUUCUCCAUUCUUCUUCAGCCAACAAUGGCAGGCGCAAGAUUGGUGCUAAGCAAGCUCUAUAUUGUUUAUCAAUGAUAAGGUGGAGCUUAGAGACUAGUUUGUCUUCUGUAAGAGCUCACUUUAUGGCACCAUCCAUAUCCGCGAUGGUGCAUUUGACCUUCAAUUGUCGGGCAAGGUAUUCAGUUUAGUCUUUGCUGGAAUUUAGAAUCUUGUUCUUGACCAACCAAGGUUUGAAACACCACAGAUGCUAAUUGUUGAAUUUCAAGCACCUAUCUCGUUUACUCUGAAGGAAAACGUUUAUGUUCAUCUUUCCUUCGUGUUUUAAAAAUAGCUGCAUCAUCACAUAUGUACCUCCUAUAUCCAUUGACUUUAGCAAGUAACCUCUCAAACUAUGGUUGCAAUUUUAUUAGUUUUUCAUUGAAUGGAGUGUUAAAUUGCAUGUUGAUUUUGUAGAUAAUAUGUUUGGAUCAGAAUGAUAAGGCAAGAGAUGAGCAAACUGACAACUGAAUUAGUUGCAGAGAUUUCAUUGAAAUAGUGCUGAUCAUGAUGCCUUGAGAUCAGCCAUGAUCUCAACAGCAAACAACCCAUGUUUAACAACUCGCAUGACUAAACUGUAAACAAAUAGAAGUUCUGAACUACGAAGGCAAUAUAACAAACUUAAAUGACUAAACUAAAACGACACAGUUUCAUUAACUUAACACAUCCUCCCCUGAACUAAAAUUUCCAGAAAGGAAUUUUAGUUCAUCUUCUCAUUAAUUUCAGCAGGUCUCAUCCUUCUAGUUCUGUGAUGUCCACCAAGCCAAGUCUACUACGGAGUAGCUUAAACGAAUCUAACUUCAGAGCCUUGGUCAUAAUAUAAGCUACUUGAUCACGAGUUCCAUAAUGCUCCAGUUCAAUCAUUCCUUCUUUAACCAAGUCUCUCAAGAAAUGAAAUCUGACAUCAAUGUGUUUGCUUCUCCCAUGCAUUACUAGAUUCUUUGACAGCUUAAUUGCUAAGCUAUUAUCACAGAACACUAUAGUUGCUCUAGAAACACUUUCCUUCCAACCCAUCUGCUCCAAAACUCUUCGAAGCCAAACACACUGUGUUGCACAAUGUGAUGCAGCUACGAAUUCUGCCUCAGUAGUUGAUAAGGUUACAACUGGUUGUUUCUUUGAUGCCCAAAAAAUAGCCCAUUCUGCAAGAAAGAACACAUGACCACUCGUGUUUUUCCUGUCAUCGAGAUCACCUGCAUAAUCACUAUCAGUGUAACCAAGCAAGUUGUCUUGUUCUUCACCUCUGCGAUACCAGAUUCCAAAGUUCAUACUUCCUUUAAGUUCAUGCUUCUCUAGCUUCCUUUUCUACUUGAGCUUUGAACUUCUUGAAACAACUCAAAGCUUCUGAUUUUGCAGUUAAAAAAUACACCCACAGUUUUCUUGAGAAAUCAGUAGUUAGAGUAAAAAUAUACCUCUUACCUCUGUUUGAUGCUGGUGUAAUAGGACCACAAAGAUCUGUGUGAAUCAAGUCCAGUUUAUAAGUGGCUCUCCAGCCACUUUUUUAAGGAAAUUUAUGUCUGUGUUGCUUGCCUGCCAAGCAAAUAUCACAGACUCCUAGUUCUCCAUUCAACUGGGGAAAACCUUGUACCAAGCCUUUUUUUGCAAUUCCUCUAAGCUCUUACCAUUCAAAUGACCAAAACGUCGAUGCCACAAAGUUAUGUCAUUCUCCUUAACACUUACAUUUGCCUUGAAACAUUUCUGCUCAGAAACUUGUUUGUCAUUCUUAUACUCAGCAUGAAUGACAAACAUUUGAUUAGUUUUCAUAUAUGUUUCCAGCAGUAGCCCCUUCUGAUCAUGAAAGACUUGACAAGCAUUUUUCCUGAUAACAAAAGACAAGCUUCUCUCCUAUAGUUGUCCUAUGCUCAGUAGAUGAGUUUGUAAACUGGGAACAUAGAACACAUCCUGAAUAACCAGUGACAACUGAUCAACUAAGAUCCUGAUGCUUCCUUUGCGUGCAACCUUAAGUUUUGUUCUAUUUCCCAACCUCACAUCACACCUGACAGUUGUAUCUAUGUCCAAAAACCACGUUUGGUCACCACUCAUAUGAUUACUACACCCUGAGUCUAGAAACCACCAACCAGUUGUCUUAUCAUACUGAUCUUUAUCCACACGAGCCAUCAACAACACAUCAUCUUUCAUGUCUGCGUGAGUGGAAGACUGUUUUUGAUUGGAUCCAGAAUUUGAGCUUGACCCUGGACCAUCAUAGCUAUAACCUGACCCCCAUACUGGUACUGCUUUUGAGCAUUCCAGUUUCCCUAUUUUUCCAAUGCGCUUGUUGAGUGUUCCACUCAGGACAUUCAGCUAUGUAAUGACCAUAUCUGUGACACUUGAAGCACUCAACAGAGGCACGAUUCCAGUUCGUUCCACCUCUUCCACGACCUCUUCCAAAGAAGCUCCCUCUGUUAAAACCUCUACCUCCUACAUUACUAUUAGAGUUGUGAGUCACUUUCAGCGCAUGAUCUUCCUCAAUAUGGUGCUUGGUAAAUUUCUGCUCAUGAACAAGCAGAGAACUCUACAAAGCAUCAAUAGUUUCUCAUAGCAUUAGCCACCACCAUAACCCUGCUGAAAUAGUCAUUGCCACUUUCUCCCUCCUUCAUGUCAAGCACUUCUUCUCAGAACCUGGAGCUGCGAUUUCUGUACUCUAGCAUUUCCGUGACAUUUCGUCUUCAUAGUAAGCCAAAGCUCUCUUGCAGUCGCCUUGUUGGUUAUUGUCUUUAGGAUUUCCUUAUCAAUGGAACUAAACAGAUAGUUCUUUGCCUUGAGAUCCUUUAGACGUGCAGCCUCCAAGGUGGUACGUUGAGCAUUGGUCAGAACCACUCCUUCAGCAUGUUCUGUGAAGCCAUCUUCGACAACCGUCCAAUACUCCUUAGAUUAUAGUAGAUUUUCCAUUAAUAAACUCCAAUGAUCAUAAUCACCAUUAAACUUAGGAAUGCUCACUGCAGCAAAACUCUCACUCAUGAUUGCUUGUUUUCUCCUCAAGCUCUAACUCUAUAACACUCUUAAUUUUCAAUACUUCAACUCAACUCUCUUUUCUCUCAUGUGAUUUCGUCGAAUGGUUACAGUUUGUUAUAAGUUCUGAUACCAUAUGAUAAGGCAAGAGAUGAGCAAACUGACAACUGAAUUAGUUGCAGAGAUUUCAUUGAAAUAGUGGUGAUCAUGAUGCCUUGAGAUCAACCAUGAUCUCAACAGCAAACAACCCACGUUUAACAACCCGCAGGACUAAACUGUAAAACAAAUAGAAGUUCUGAACUACGAAGGCAAUAUAACAAACUUAAAUGACUAAACUAAAACGACACAAUUUCAUUAACUUAACACAGAGCUGGGUAUCAAAGGAAAGUAGAAUAAAGGAGGUUGAUGAUGCUGCAGCUGCCACAUCCAUGAGAAGGCAACAUAAGUGUGAAGUUUUCGGAAGUGUUUAAUGAACUUGUUGUUAAUGUUAGAAGUUCGAUAGGCGUAGGCUUUUAGACUGAAGGACAAAUACUUAACUAGUGAUCGAUUGCCCCGUUAGAUAGGCAAUGGUGUUCUUGAAGCGUUAUGUUACGGGUCAAUUGGGUCUUGGACUGGGAGGGUCACCAAGUUGACACGGAUUUCCCAUAGUGUCACAUUAAAUCUACAAACCAUUAUAUAUAUAUAUCUUUAGGACUCACAAUUAAAAUUUCCUAAAAUACUUCUUUGUACUCAAAAUAUUAUAUUUUAUAAUUAAAAUUUCCUAAAAUACUUCUUUCUACUCAAAAUAUUAUAUUUUAUAAUUAGUUAUUUGUGGUCUCAAAAUAUUAUAUUUUAUAAUAAGUUCAUUGUGGAGUUUUAAACCUAUCUAAUGGGUGGGAUAUGCGGAUCUCAUGUCAAGUUAAUCGGCUUGCAUAUUUUUGAAGUUGGGAAUUUUUCGGGUUACAGGUCAUCAAGUCACAUGUUCAUUGAGUUGCAUAUUUGUUGGAUAGCUGGUUAAUCGGGUCAUGGGGUUGUCACUACAAUCAAGAAUUGUACCCUAAUCCGGGUGAAUAGCAUGAGCUCUCAUCUAAGUAGCAACCCAAUUCACCAAUCGAUUGUUCCUCCUAGGGGUGAAGAAAAACUUGAUCCACGAUGUGUUAGUUGUGAGAUGGAAGAUCAGACCAAUGGUGGCAUAUCACUCCCAAGGCCACAUGAAAUGUCUGUUGUUCAAUAUGUUAACAAUAUUAAUGCAAUCCGAGAAGAUCAUGGUGGUCUCGGUACCACUCGUGCCGAGCACUGCACACUUUUUCAUGGAUGUCUCAAUUAAGUACUCCAUAAACUGCAUCCUGGGAACCACAUAAAAAAUCGAUCAUAGUGAAUAGUCGUAGAAGGGGUAUUUAGCAGGGGACUAACUGUUUGAUGGUUUUGAACCGAGUGGUUGGAGGAGGGGAUGUUCGUCGGGCGCAUCGCAAGGCUCCAAGCAGCCAAGUCAUUAGUGAUGCUCAAAUUAGUGAAGAAGCUUGACGGCUCCAAUUGUUCCAACAAAUCACUACAAUCUUGGGCAGAGAAGUUCAAGAGAUGGACUCUUGGUGAGAAACAAACCACUGUGUAAAGGAUGAAUCAUAAGUAGGGAGUGUCAAGGAAGGGAGCUGCCUCUCCCAGGUUCUCAUGGUAUGAGCACAGCCAAAUAAGUAGUGGAGAAGGGUUUCAUUACUUCCCUGACAAAUGGGACAAGAGUCAUCCGCCGCAUAUUGGCGUCUUGCAAGAUUUCUUUUCAUAGCGAUCACUUUAUUAUAACAUCUCCACACAUAAAACUUAAGCAUGGGCGGAAGAUUGAGACUCCAAAGCCAUUUCCAAGUCUUGGUCUCGGUCGCAUGGGAGCUAGUGGAACCAUUAGAAUUCUACUUCCCGGUGGGCAAGAGCAAGAAUUCUUCCAACAUGACAAAUCAUUAAUUUCUGGAGGCCCAGCUAGAAUCUUAAUGAUUUCAUCUGUCUAAUAGAUGGAGCAAUCAUCCUCAAUGGCAUGUCGAUUCCAUGUUGGGGGUCCUGAAGCAUCCAGUUAAACACUUUGCAGUUGUAGUCGCCACUUUUCCACAACCGAAAACCGGAAAGAGUGGGAAUCCAAGGAUGGUCUAUAACUAGGUUGUCUCUCCCAUCCCCAAUAAGACAAAUAACACAGCUACUGAGUGAUGAACGGACUUUACCCCGCUUUCAAAUACCCACGAGAUUGCUCUAGUGGGAUCGUAAUUCUCCCUAGGGUCUUUCUAUUCUUAUUACUCAAGAUGACAAUCAAACUAAACCAAGUAACAGAUUGAAAUUAUUUUCUGGAUUGUUUUAAGUAACCGAUUAACAACUAAGCAUGCAAUUACAAGUUAAACGAAUUCGAGAGAUUAAGUUUCUAAUAGGAAUGAAGGUUGCUAGGAUUCAAAUCCACCUAAGCUAGCAAUGUAUGAUGAAUGAUUAAUUAUCUCGGUUAUUCGGGUUAUAACGGCUCGGCAAUUUCCUAAUGUAGUCUUAGAUCAGUCUCGCGCCUCUAAGGAUCUAUUUCUUCUAACUGCAGAUUCCUCUCUCGAGCUAAUCUACACCUAAACAAAACGCAUUAAUUAUGUUCGAUGAACUGCCACAGCGAUAANNNNNNNNNNNNNNNNNNNNNNNNNNNNNNNNNNNNNNNNNNNNNNNNNNNNNNNNNNNNNNNNNNNNNNNNNNNNNNNNNNNNNNNNNNNNNNNNNNNNNNNNNNNNNNNNNNNNNNNNNNNNNNNNNNNNNNNNNNNNNNNNNNNNNNNNNNNNNNNNNNNNNNNNNNNNNNNNNNNNNNNNNNNNNNNNNNNNNNNNNNNNNNNNNNNNNNNNNNNNNNNNNNNNNNNNNNNNNNNNNNNNNNNNNNNNNNNNNNNGACAACACAGAAAUUUUAGCUACUCAUGGUUCGGGAAGUAAGAAGGGAAAAAAAAUGAGAACAACCCGGAAAGAUAACAUAAUCCGUCGAGAAUUCCCAAUCCUGUCGCCGAUCUUCGCUCUGUCUCCANNNNNNNNNNNNNNNNNNNNNNNNNNNNNNNNNNNNNNNNNNNNNNNNNNNNNNNNCCCUUUGUCUCUCUCUAAAAGCUCUAAAAUAUGUGUAGAAAUAAUGAUGUUCUGUCCAGAGGGUUGCUAGGGCUUUUUAUAGGCUCGUCGUCCCAAUCCGAGAUGGAAAAGGAUUAAAAAUCUGUCUGGGAUGGAACACGCCAUGUUCCACAAAACACGCCCUGGGACACGCCGUGCAACUGACCGUGUUUGGUCCCUGUAACUUUUUGCCCAUUUUUCAUCAUCAGGACACGCCGUGUUCCACGGAGCACGCCUUGGGACACGCCGUGCCGGCGGCGCGGCUCCUCUACUUUCAACUAUUUUACCCUUUCCUCAGCCACNNNNNNNNNNNNNNNNNNNNNNNNNNNNNNNNNNNNNNNNNNNNNNNNNNNNNNNNNNNNNNNNNNNNNNNNNNNNNNNNNNNNNNNNNNNNNNNNNNNNNNNNNNNNNNNNNNNNNNNNNNNNNNNNNNNNNNNNNNNNNNNNNNNNNNNNNNNNNNNNNNNNNNNNNNNNNNNNNNNNNNNNNNNNNNNNNNNNNNNNNNNNNNNNNNNNNNNNNNNNNNNNNNNNNNNNNNNNNNNNNNNNNNNNNNNNNNNNNNNNNNNNNNNNNNNNNNNNNNNNNNNNNNNNNNNNNNNNNNNNNNNNNNNNNNNNNNNNNNNNNNNNNNNNNNNNNNNNNNNNNNNNNNNNNNNNNNNNNNNNNNNNNNNNNNNNNNNNNNNNNNNNNNNNNNNNNNNNNNNNNNNNNNNNNNNNNNNNNNNNNNNNNNNNNNNNUGUUCUGUCCAGAGGGUUGCUAGGGCUUUUUAUAGGCUCGUCGUCCCAAUCCGAGAUGGAAAAGGAUUAAAAAUCCGUCUGGGAUGGAACACGCCUUGGGACACGCCGUGCUCUAGGCCGUGUUCCUCCCCUAUAAGUUUUUCUCCCUUUUUCACACCCGGAACACGCCGUGUUCCAGUUGGAACACACCGUGUUCCUCUCUGGCUGCACUUAAAUACUUGCUUGUCCUCAAGCAAAUCUACUAAUCGCUCUCUAUAAAGGCUCAACAUAUGGUGCUCGGAAUUUAAAGUUCAGAUUCUCAAACUAUCAUGGUGUUUAAAGAUGCAAGGUAAUCACAAACCACACAUUUAAGCAUGGAACACCGAAUUCCUCGAAUUAGCAUAAGAUAGAUUCAUAGAUAUGAUAUAAAUGAGUUGACACCUAACCACCAGAAUGUAUCCAUAUCAUAAACUCGGAAGUAACCAGUCUCCGGCCUAUGCCCAAAGCCUCAUAAAGGUAGGGAAGACGGCAAACCACUAGGGUCGCCCUGCGUUUUUCGAUUGCAACCAAACCCCCACGACAUUUUUUGUUUACUAGCAACCUCAUUCGGACUCCGAACUGCCUUCACUGAUGUAGGGGGUGGCAGUGUAGAUAUAGUAUCAAUCUUUGCCAGAUCAACUGCAACUCCCUUCUUCGAAAUUUUGUGGCCUAGCACAAUUCCCUCUCUCACCAUAAAAUAGCUCUUCUCCCAGCUAAGAGCUAGAUUCGUUGCCUCGCAUGUUUUGACGACUUUUUCCAAAUUCAGCAAACCUUGCUCAAAAGAAUCUCCAUAAUAGAAAAGUCAUCCAUGAAUACCUCCAUAAUCUCGCCGAUGAGCUCUUCAAAAAUAGUUAUCAUGCAUCUUUGAAAGGUCGCAGGAGCAUUGCAUACGCCGAAAGGGAUCCUGCAGUAAGCGAAUGUACCAAAGGGACACGUGAAUGUCGUCUUUUCUUGAUCUUCCGGGGCUAUAGGAAUCUGGUAAUAUACAGACAUCCCAUCUAAAAAAUAAUAAUACUCGUGCCCCGCCAAACGUUGCAGCAUCUGAUCGAUGAAAGGAAGGGGAAAAGAUCCUUCCUUGUAGCAUCAUUCAACCGUUUGUAGUCUAUACAAACUCGCCAACCGCUAACAACCCGUGUAGCAAUUAAUUCGCCAGCUGCAUUGGGCAUUACAGUCAUUCCUCCUUUCUUCGGGACACAAUGCACAGGACUCACCAACUUACUGUCCGAUAUGGGAUAGAUAAUCCCUAUAUCUAAAAGUUUCAAAGUCUCCUUACGCACUACCUCCAUUAAAGGGGGAUUUAGGCGCCUCUGGGAUUGACGAACUGGCUUCUCAUCCUCUUAUAGAUAAAUUGGGUGCUUGCAAUAAUUUGGACUGAUUCCCUUAGUAUUUGUCACCUUCCAUGCAAUUGCUUGUUUAUGUUGCUUCAAGAGAGCGACGAGGCUAACCUUCUGUGGUGGGGAGAGAGUCGAGUUGAUGAUCACUGGAAGUUUGGACCCAUCCUCCAAGAACGCAUACUCCAAANNNNNNNNNNNNNNNNNNNNNNNNNNNNNNNNNNNNNUCUAAUCCAACCCUAAGAGUGAUAGUACCAUUACUGAUAUCAAUUAUAGCUUUAGCAGUAUUAAGGAAUGGUCUACCCAGGAUCAAAGACAUAUUCGAAUGAGCAUCUAUCACCACAAAAUCAGUUAAGAAAGUAUAUUUUCCCAUAGUUAACAGUACUUCCUCUAAGAUCCCUCUAGGCACAGUUGCUGAUUUACCGGCCAGUUUAAUAUUCAUGCGAGUAGGCUUAAAGUCUAUCAAUCCUAGAGAAUUAGCCAAGCUAUAGGACAUCACAUUAAUACUAGCCCCUGUAUCUGCUAAACCAUUACUAACUUGCGUAUUACCAAUCUUACAAGGGAGAGUGAACGGACCUGUAUCUCUUCGUUUGCGUGGUAGAGUCCCAAAGUCAAUCUCGGAAUAACUUGCUGCCAUGUCUACUUCUUCGUUCAGCUCUGUGGUUUCUUCCUCAGCGAGAGCUAGCAGUUCAGGAAGCUUCCUCUUAUUCGUCACCAAGUCCUUCAUAAACUUCGCAUAAUGAGGCAUCUCUUUGACCACUUUUACAAAAGGCAUAUCGACAUGCACAGUGUUCAACACCUUCAUGAAUUCAGCAAACUGCUUGUCAUACAACUCCUUAUUUAGUGGAGCAGGAUAUGGAACUCUAGGCUUGUAGGGAUUCUCCACUGGUGGGGGAGUAGGAGUGCAAAGAGGAGGUACUCCUUCGGUUGUAUCCGGAAUGGUGGUAUUUUGCGGCUCUUGUGCAUGAAUAUCCUCUUCAUCCAAAAGGGGUGGAGGUUGCACUAUUGGUGUGACGAUCUUCAUCGGAGGAUCUUGCAGCCGCUUUCUGCUUCUAGUUUCAAUUGCCUCACGUCUUCGUGUUGUCUUGGGUUCGGAACAAUUGAACUAGGCAUACCAUUCCGUUUACCAGGGACACCGGUGUUGGCUAGUUCAUUUAACUGUGCCUGCAUACUUCGCAUUGAUUGUUCUCGAGCUUCAUCAUUAUCCACAAGCCGGUUCAGCAUUCCACAAGCCGGUUCAGAAUAGCAGAUAAUGGCUGCUGGUCCUAUGGAGUAGGAAAUCCAGGGGGGUCUGAUUAGUCGAAUAGGUUAUCUGAUCCUUCUCUCCAUAGAUCUCGUUGACAUAUCGCUGCUGGUUGUUGUCUGAGUAUAGCGGUUGUCUUUGGCGAUUCUGCUGAUAAUUUCCUUGAUUUCUGUUGGUAUGCUGGUUUUGUGGCGGAUGAGUACCCGUACCUCUGUAGUUGCUAUGUCCUGGCUGACUUCUGGCUUGAUGAUUAUUCUGGGCCUUAUUGAAAUUCUACCCUGAUGAUUGGUAACUACUCUAACCCUUAUUGUAGUUCUGAGGUUCUUGAUUAGGCUGUUGGUAGGGAUUCUGGUGUUGACCGCCCACAUAGUCGACAUGCUCAUGUUCCUGCCCCUGCUCGAGCUCCUCCAUAUAGUUGGACACGUCAUGAUCGGUUCCUCCACAUCCUUCACAAGCAUAUACAAAAGUUGUAGGUGUAUUAGAAGGCCUUUGGGAAUGCAGGCUAUUCUUCUGAGCUAAUUCUAUGCUGUCCAUCUUCUUAGUGAGCAAUUGUAGCUAGUCAAGCAGUUGAGCUUGCUGAAAUUCAAUAGUGGAUGAAGAUUCUUCUCUUGCCGCUCCUGUAGACUUUACUUGUUGAACCUGGUUUCUGGGCACAUUCAGCUCAAUGUCUAUUGGGUUGGUGAGGACGAGGGUCCUCAUCUUUUGAGCAUAGGCUAUGCAUGCUUCUAGAGCUUGUGUUGGUGUCAGGUCUGUUAGAUUUCCUGGAAUNNNNNNNNNNNNNNNNNNNNNNNNNNNNNNNNNNNNNNNNNNNNNNNNNNNNNNNNNNNNNNNNNNNNNNNNNNNNNNNNNNNNNNNNNCAUCCAUGUCAUGGUGAGGACAUGAGCGAAGAAGACUCUGGAAUCUAUGCCAAGCAUCAUAGAAUGUCUCGUUGGAAGGACUCUUAAACUGUGAGAUCCUUGCCUUUAAUGCCUCAGUCCUGGAUGGAGAGAAGAAUUCCUCCAAGAACUCCGUGGCUAAUUCAUCCCAAGUAGUGAAAUACCCUGUCGGGUGCUCAUACAACCACUCUUGUGCUUCCGCUUUGAGAGAAAAUGGGAACAGGCUGAGUUUAAGAUCGUCGACGUGGACACCUCUUGCCUUAUUCGUCUCAGCUAGACUCACAAAAUCCCUAAGAUGAGCAUUGGGGUCUUCAUCGGGUCCUCCCGCAAAUGCCCUUGAUUGGAUGAGAUUAAUCAGGGGUACUGGAGUUUGGUAGGCUUGAUCUCCCCUGAUGGGACACAGAAUACUCGAACAAAGAAUACUCAAACCAGCCCCUCCGAGAGUAGGUCGGCCAUAGUCUCUUAAUGGCCUCUCCUGAGGAAUGAGUGGGAUGUGCACGUUGUGCCCUCCAUCGUUGUGAAUAUGGUUGUUGUUGAGAUGGUGAUUGUGAUCAUCGUUGUGAUUAUGGUCGUCGUUGUUGUUGUCCCCUUCUUCAUUAAUGUGGAAUGCAUCCAUCUUGACCUCCUCUUCUGUCUUUUCUGGGUGUAUAACUGGUGGAGGGUGAUCGAGAGCAGCUUCUAAUACUAACUUCUUGCGAGGUUUGGGACCUAGGUGAGUGUAUGAAGUUGUCCCGUUAGCUAGACGUUUACUCUUCCGGAGAGAUGUUGAGUCCGUAAUUUUGCCUGCACAACAGGAAACAACAAAACUACGUAAUAUGAAAAUGUGGGAGAUGAAGUAAUGAUAUUAUGGAUGAGGGAAUAGUUACAAUCAAAAUUUUCCUAAAAAUAGAAAUUAAUUAUCUCGGUUAUUCAGGUUAUAAUGGCUCGGCAAUUUCCUAAUGUAAUCUUAGAUCACUCUCGCGCCUCUAAGGAUCUAUUUCGUCUAACUGCAUAUUCCUCUCUCGAGCUAAUCUACACCUAAACAAAAGGCAUUAAUUAUGUUCGAUGAAAUGCCACAGCGAUAAACGUGCGAAGAGCCUAAACGAUUCGCUCCUCUCUCGAGCUAACGAAUAAUCUAGGGUCCUUCCUAAGCGACCUAUCAACCUAUGUUCCUCUCGGACCCACAAAUCAAUGUCGAUGACUCGAUCAAGUUGAUCAGACAAUAAUGAAUCAGAAAUUAAGUUUUAGGAAGAACGCAUCAUAAGUCUGAAUAAACCUCAAUAACAAAUCAAAUCAUCCAUACAAAAGCUUAGCAAAAGCUUCAUCUCAUCCGAACAACACAGAAAGUUUAGCUACCCAUGUGGAACACGCCCUGGGACACGCCGUGCUCCUGGCCGUGUUUGGCCCCUGUAAUUUUCGCCCAUUUUUCAUCGUCAGGGCACACCGUGUUGCAUCGGGGAGGACGUUGGUAACGACACGUCUGGGAUAGGACACACCGUGUUCCACGGAGCACGCCUUGGGACACGCCGUGCUCUAGGCCGUGUUCCUCCCCUGUACGUUUUUCACCUUUUUUCACACCCGGCACACACACGCCGUGCUCUAGGCCGUGUUCCUCCCCUGUACGUUUUUCACCUUUUUUCACACCCGGAACACACCGUGUUCCUCUCCAGCUGCUCUAAUCAGUCCGUUUCCACUCCCGCUUACCCUCAAACACCGUGUAUUGCCUGAAAGUGCAUCAAAAACACACCGAACAAUGUAAUACGGCCCCAAGGGGCAAGAGGACAAACAUGUGCUAGAGAUCCAGGGUUUAAACACCUUUCGACACACAAAAGGCUCAUUUUACAAUCAAAAAGGUGUGUCGAAUAUGCAACACAUCACCUGUCCGGGCAAACCCGUUGAAAAUCUAUCACGGUUGGAUUCCAUUCAAAUGGAGACGUAAAUUGUUUCUAGUGGAAAAUGCUUUCGUAUUAUAUGGUGCUCAGAAUUUAAAGUUCAGACUCUCAAACUAUCAUGGUGUUUAAAGAUGUAAGGUAAUCACAAAUCACACAUUUAAGCAUGGAACACCGAAUUCCUCGAAUUAGCAUAAGAUAGAUUCAUAGAUAUGAUAUAAAUGAGUUGACACCUAACCACCAGAAUGUAUCCAUAUCAUAANNNNNNNNNNNNNNNNNNNNNNNNNNNNNNNNNNNNNNNNNNNNNNNNNNNNNNNNNNNNNNNNNNNNNNNNNNNNNNNNNNNNNNNNNNNNNNNNNNNNNNNNNNNNNNNNNNNNNNNNNNNNNNNNNNNNNNNNNNNNNNNNNNNNNNNNNNNNNNNNNNNNNNNNNNNNNNNNNNUACCUCUACAGUUUACUGAAAACAAAGCUUGCAUAAUUCGAUGUUGCUUUUCGAUUCUUUCUUUGCUUCUCUUUCUUUAUUGCUUUUUUAGAUAGCGGCUUUUUCUAUACGGGGGGAUUAAUCACAACUUCAGCCGGACUCGGAAGUAACCAGUCUCCGGCCCACGCCCCAAGCCUCAUAAAGGUAGGGAAGACGGCAAACCACUAGGGUCGCCCUGCGUGUUUCGAUUCCAACCAAACCCCCAUGACAUUUUUUACUAGCAACCUCAUUCGGACUCCUCCCGCCUGUUUUACCCUUCAUAACAACUUGAUGAGCGGAUACUUGCCCAAAUCCAAGACAGUCAGCUACCCUUAGAGGCUGAAAGAAAAUCACCUUUUGGGAAAUAAAUACUGUUGAGGACUCUAACCCAAAAGGCAUCAGGGAAGAUAAUUAAUCGUCACCCUUGUUUGGAAAGCAUAGCCUUGUUGAACUCAUGGAAGCUUUGAAAACCCAAUCCCCCAACAUCCUUGGAAGAGCAUAACUUUCUAGCAUUACACCAAUGGAUGGAUUGUUUUCUCAUAUUCCCUGCCUAGAAGAAAUUGUAACACCUCGACCUUUCCGUUAACAUAUUAUCCACUUUAGGCAUAGCUACGAAGUUAUUUUGAAGUGCAUAACAAUGACUUCCCAGGAGGUCACCCAUUUCUACACUGUUCCACCCUGAGCAUGAUUAACUUCCGAGUUCUUUACAAGUCUCACCUCAAAAAUGCGUCUUGUUAGUUAGGAAUGGGUUGUUACUUAUAGCCCAUAGAUCUCUCUCGUGCUUUGUCGAUACGGAAUUUUCCUAAGGUGUUACAUUAAACCCCCCCCCCCCCCCCGUUAAGACUCAACGACCUCGUUAAGGUUUGCCCCACCACUAUUCAAGAGGGACGUGGACAGGCUCUUAUACCACUUGUAAAGCCUUGACCUUUCCAUUAAGAUAUCAUUCGCUUUUAGCAUAGCUAGUCCCGUACAAAUUAUUUUUGGGUGCAUAACACUAACUUCCCAUGUGGUCAUCGACUUUUCCACUGUUUCACGCUGAGCACAAUUAAGUUCAGAAUUCUUUACAAAAACUCCUUAGUCCUACCCUAAAAACGCGUCUUUUCAUUUAGAAACGGAUUGUUACGUAUAGCCCAUAGAUUUCUAUCAUGCUUUGUCGAUGUGAGAUUUCCCUAAGGUGUUACAUUACACCCCCUUCCCCCCCCCCCCUCCUUGAGACACAACGUCGUCGUUGAGCUGUGCCUCACCAUCGUUGAAGAGUGAAGUAGACAGGCAGACAGGCUCUGAUACCACUUGCAAUACCCCAAAUUUUCAGACUUGUCCACUUUGGGCAUAAAUAUUGAUGCACGAAUUUAUUUUCGGGUGCAUAACAGUGACUUCACAGGUGGUCACCGAUUUCUGCACUACUCAACCCUGAGCAUGAUUAACUUGAGAGUUCUUUACAAGAACUCCACUAUCCCACCCCAUAAACGCGUCUUGUUAGUUAUGAAUGGAUUUUUACUUAUAGCCCAUAGAUCUCUCAUGUGCUUUAUCGAUGUGAGAUUUGCCUAAGGUGGUACAAAACUUCGUUACCAAACUAUCCAUUUGUUAGUUAACCCUUUUAAAAGCAUAAAAGAGCUCAUGAUGUAGGUGUGAAUCGCCUAUAAAACGGCCUUGAUAAGGGUUUCUUUAGCUGCGUGGGAGAGCAUGCUACAUUUCCAAACUUGGCCUUUCUUAACCAGAUGGUAAAUGAGGAAGGAGAAAGUUUUCUUCGUGAGUUGCCCCACUCUAUGGGGAUACCCAUAUAUUUUGAGCGACUGUUUGUUGGAGAGAAACCGACCAUGCUAAUAAUAUUGCUUAUGUCAUCUUCAGGAACACUAGCACUAAAGAAAAUGGAAGACUUUUCCAGGUUAACUUCUUGCCCAAUAGCUUUCCUGUACCGUUGCAUGAUGUCAAUGAUGCUCUCGGCUUCAUUGCAAGGUGUCUUCCCAAAAAUGAUUGUGUCAUCAGCAAACAAACAAUGAGAUAAGGUCGGCGUCUUAAGUUUAAUUCCACUAAGCUAGUUUAAUUACGCUAUUUCCC
rnacentral:lncRNA from 1 species